AAACACAGCGCGGAGCUGCAGCUCACGGUCGCUAAGGAAGAGGCAGAGAAAAUCAAGAGGAAGCGGAGUAGUGUGUUUGGGACCCUUCACGUCGCUCACAGCUCGUCACUGGACGAGGUGGACCACAAGAUCCUGGAGGCCAAGAAGUCCCUGUCGGAGGUGACGGCCUGCCUGAGGGAGCGCU